rnacentral:lncRNA from 1 species
CAAAUUCUUGCAUAAAAAAGGCUAUGUGAUGCAGAUGGAGAAAUGUAGAAAUGUGAAAAUAUUAAAAUGACAAUUCUUCUUUCAUUUCUGCCCCUGGUUUAGGACCAUUGUGAUGUAAUCUGAUUUAGGACUUUGAGACAUUGUGUGAGCCAUCCUCUGAGGCUGAUUUCGACUCUUUCAGCAAAUGCUCUUCUCUCUGGCUUCAAGUUGCUGCAAUCAUUCAUUGAGGUAACAGUACAAAGCUGCCAAUUUGAAAAUAAGGCUUUGCUCAGUAGCAGAAGAAAAUGAGAAAUUCAAGGAAAGCACCUUGUCUGUGUCACACCCUGGGAUGAACUGCACUUGUCAGUGGAAGAUACAGCAGGAAGAAAACUCCAGAGAAAUUGCAAGAUCCAUUUGUAACAAGCAUAAUAAAUAUCAAUAAAUUGAAUGGUCAGGAAUAGCACCUACAUAAACAGGAUGUGGCAACUGGAGUGAGCAUAUUAAACUAUACUCAUCAAAUGAUCAGAUUUGCAGUGGGACAA